rnacentral:rRNA from 1 species
GACGAACGCUGGCGGCGUGCCUAAUACAUGCAAGUCGAGCGGACCUCUUCGGAGGUCAGCGGCGGACGGGUGAGUAACACGUGGGCAACCUGCCUGUGAGACUGGGAUAACACCGGGAAACCGGUGCUAAUACCGGAUAAUCCUUUUCCUCACAUGAGGGGAAGCUGAAAGACGGGUUCGGCUGUCACUUACAGAUGGGCCCGCGGCGCAUUAGCUAGUUGGGGGGGUAACGGCCCACCAAGGCGACGAUGCGUAGCCGACCUGAGAGGGUGAACGGCCACACUGGGACUGAGACACGGCCCAGACUCCUACGGGAGGCAGCAGUAGGGAAUCUUCCGCAAUGGACGAAAGUCUGACGGAGCAACGCCGCGUGAGCGAAGAAGGCCUUCGGGUCGUAAAGCUCUGUUGUCAGGGAAGAACACGUAUCGGAGUAACUGCCGGUACCUUGACGGUACCUGACCAGAAAGCCACGGCUAACUACGUGCCAGCCGCCGCCGUAAUAC